AGUUACCAGAAUGGCAGCUUCCGGAGCUGAUUGACACUUUUGCAGAUUGCACAGGAGUUCGAGGUCCUUCAUAAAGAGGCAUCAGACUAAAUGUUUGACCUGGAGGAGGUUCAGAGAGAAGCUUCUUCAUGUGGCCCAGCGAGCUCCACGUGCAGACACGGUCUUUGUCACAAGGCUCCAAAGACUACAUUGCCCUGAUGGUUCUACCAAGCCUGAUGCCACCUGCAGUCUUUAGGAUGGGCCUGGAAGACCGUGAGGACUACAGUGUCUAACGCCAUGAAGGCCUUCAUCGAUCUUAAGCCUGUCGGAACAAACAUGGUGGAGUACCUUCAGGCAGCAGACCAGACCAGGCCGUACCCCUACACCCUGGUGUUGGGAGGUGAGGAGUGCUGCUCACAGCCAUUCACCGUUCUCAGUGGGCCGGCCCUGGAGCAGGACAGCGUUGUCCAAGCUGUACAUGUUUGUUUCAAAAGUUUUUAUGUGUUCGAUAUCAAUUUCCCAAAUCAUGUUUCUCUGCUUGGCAGUUCCUCCAGGAGGCUGUCUAUGGAAUGGGGGGGGAGGGGGGGUAAUGUGGCCCCAUGCGUUUGUGUUUUGGAAAUGCUCAUGUGAUA